GCUAGUCACCUUUCCUUGGCGGGUGUUGCAACGCAAGGGCUGGAACGUCCCGGGCUGCGGAGCUCGCUGGGUUGGGAUGGACUCGUUCAGACCUGAGUGCUAGGACGUCGAAGGGGGCGAACCCAGAAGAGGAGAGAACUGCUGUGCGUCUGAAGUGAUGGCGGAGAGUGGGUUCAUACUACUAAUAGAAGUAGCUAACUUAUUGAGCAUGCACUUUGAGCCACUUAUAGUUGGACGUUCUUUACAGAUGUG